GCGGAGGUUUCCGAGCCCGGUCAAAGUUCAACGACCCGAGGAGCAGGACUGAGGCUCCUGUGGCGUAGGCCUUCAGGAGUUCAACCGGCGGCAGGUUGAGUGCCGCUGGGACACAUCUCCUCCUCCGCACCA
rnacentral:tRNA from 1 species